CGAGCGGUAGAGAGAAGCUUGCUUCUCUUGAGAGCGGCGGACGGGUGAGUAAUGCCUAGGAAUCUGCCUGGUAGUGGGGGAUAACGUUCGGAAACGGACGCUAAUACCGCAUACGUCCUACGGGAGAAAGCAGGGGACCUUCGGGCCUUGCGCUAUCAGAUGAGCCUAGGUCGGAUUAGCUAGUUGGUGAGGUAAUGGCUCACCAAGGCGACGAUCCGUAACUGGUCUGAGAGGAUGAUCAGUCACACUGGAACUGAGACACGGUCCAGACUCCUACGGGAGGCAGCAGUGGGGAAUAUUGGACAAUGGGCGAAAGCCUGAUCCAGCCAUGCCGCGUGUGUGAAGAAGGUCUUCGGAUUGUAAAGCACUUUAAGUUGGGAGGAAGGGUUGUAGAUUAAUACUCUGCAAUUUUGACGUUACCGACAGAAUAAGCACCGGCUAACUCUGUGCCAGCAGCCGCGGUAAUACAGAGGGUGCAAGCGUUAAUCGGAAUUACUGGGCGUAAAGCGCGCGUAGGUGGUUUGUUAAGUUGGAUGUGAAAUCCCCGGGCUCAACCUGGGAACUGCAUUCAAAACUGACUGACUAGAGUAUGGUAGAGGGUGGUGGAAUUUCCUGUGUAGCGGUGAAAUGCGUAGAUAUAGGAAGGAACACCAGUGGCGAAGGCGACCACCUGGACUAAUACUGACACUGAGGUGCGAAAGCGUGGGGAGCAAACAGGAUUAGAUACCCUGGUAGUCCACG
rnacentral:rRNA from 1 species